AGCAGCCGCGGUAAUUCCAGCUCCAAUAGCGUAUAUUAAAGUUGUUGCAGUUAAAAAGCUCGUAGUUGAAUUUCGGGGUUAGUAGAUUGGUCAUGCCUCUGGUAUGCACGGGUCUUACUGAUUCCUCCUUCCUGAUGAACCGUAAUGCCAUUAAUUUGGUGUUGCGGGGAAACUGGACUGUUACUUUGAAAAAUUAGAGUGUUUAAAGCAGGCUAACGCUUGAAUACAUUAGCACGGAAUAAUGAAAUAGGACGUUCGAUCUUAUUUUGUUGGUUUCUAGGAUUGACGUAAUGAUUAAUAGGGAUAGUUGGGGGCAUUAGUAUUCAAUUGUCAGAGGUGAAAUUCUUGGAUUUAUUGAAGACUAACUACUGCGAAAGCAUUUGCCAAGGAUGUUUUCAUUAAUCAAGAACGAAAGUUAGGGGAUCGAAGACGGUCAGAUACCGUCGUAGUCUUAACCAUAAACUAUGCCGACUAGGGAUCGGAUGAUGUUAAUUUUUUAAUGACUCAUUCGGCGCCUUAC
rnacentral:rRNA from 1 species